rnacentral:rRNA from 1 species
ACGAACGCUGGCGGCGUGCUUCACACAUGCAAGUCGAACGGAAAGGCCCUGCUUUUGUGGGGUGCUCGAGUGGCGAACGGGUGAGUAACACGUGAGUAACCUGCCCUUGACUUUGGGAUAACUUCAGGAAACUGGGGCUAAUACCGGAUAGGAGCUCCUGCUGCAUGGUGGGGGUUGGAAAGUUUCGGCGGUUGGGGAUGGACUCGCGGCUUAUCAGCUUGGUGGUGGGGUAGUGGCUUACCAAGGCUUUGACGGGUAGCCGGCCUGAGAGGGUGACCGGCCACAUUGGGACUGAGAUACGGCCCAGACUACUACGGGAGGCAGCAGUGGGGAAUAUUGCACAAUGGGCGGAAGCCUGAUGCAGCAACGCCGCGUGCGGGAUGACGGCCUUCGGGUUGUAAACCGCUUUCGCCUGUGACGAAGCGUGAGUGAUGGUAAUGGGUAAAGAAGCACCGGCUAACUACGUG